CUGGAAGCCAUCUUGGCUGCCCAACAUCUCGCGAGAUUGCCUCUGCCGUGACUCUUCUCUCUCUCCAGUCUUUUUGGUUCUCACCUCCUUCAGUCCCGGUUUAGGUGCGGUUUUAUCUAGUGCCACCUUUGCUGCUCCAGCUCGAUUCCCAGAAAGUCCCUGUGAUGCAGCUUUGGCGAAAUUUCCACCAGGGUCCCAACUAAAAUCAAUGCUAAGGGACAAAAUUCAACUGAAUAGAGUGCAGUCUGGUUAAAAACCUGAAAAAUGAGAAGGUCUGGUGGGAGUGGAGGAAGGGCUGUACUAAAUCCAAGUGGACCAACUGGAUCUUAACAAUACACAUCUCUGAACCAGACACACCACCUUCACACAGGAAACAGGGCUUGGAACAUCUGGGGAAAUGAACAUGCGCCACCUACAUCUAACCUACCUGGCUGGUGGGUACCAUCCCUGCUCCUCUGAAGAAGUGAAAGAGCACUGAUUUCAGCAGCUAAGAAAUGGGCUCUUUUAAGGCAAUUUAGACAUUGCAGAUUGUUCAACAUGGAAGGUACCUUAGCAUUUCCUGUUAAUAAGGUACCCAAUUAAGACUAAAGUCCCCAGAAAUGGGAAAGGAAGAAUCACCUUUCUGGGCUGGGAGAGUAA